rnacentral:rRNA from 1 species
AGUGAACGCUGGCGGUAGGCCUAACACAUGCAAGUCGAACGGCAGCACAGUAAGAGCUUGCUCUUACGGGUGGCGAGUGGCGGACGGGUGAGGAAUACAUCGGAAUCUACUUUUUCGUGGGGGAUAACGUAGGGAAACUUACGCUAAUACCGCAUACGACCUACGGGUGAAAGCAGGGGAUCUUCGGACCUUGCGCGAUUGAAUGAGCCGAUGUCGGAUUAGCUAGUUGGCGGGGUAAAGGCCCACCAAGGCGACGAUCCGUAGCUGGUCUGAGAGGAUGGUCAGCCACACUGGAACUGAGACACGGUCCAGACUCCUACGGGAGGCAGCAGUGGGGAAUAUUGGACAAUGGGCGCAAGCCUGAUCCAGCCAUACCGCGUGGGUGAAGAAGGCCUUCGGGUUGUAAAGCCCUUUUGUUCGGAAAGAAAAGCAGCAGGUUAAUACCCCGCUGUUCUGACGGUACCCAAAGAAUAAGCACCGGCUAACUUCGUG